UACAGAGGGUGCAAGCGUUGUUCGGAAUUACUGGGCGUAAAGCGCGUGUAGGCGGUCUGCCAAGUCUGAUGUGAAAGCCCUGGGACCUCAACCCAGGAAGUGCGUCAGAUACUGGUGGACUGGAGUGGCGGAGAGGAUGGCGGAAUUCCCGGUGUAGAGGUGAAAUUCGUAGAUAUCGGGAGGAACACCUGUGGCGAAGGCGGACCAUCUGGACGUCAACUGACGCUGAGACGCGAAAGCAUGGGGAGCAAACAGGG
rnacentral:rRNA from 1 species